UGAACACAAAAUGGCGACACGUGGUUAGCAUUCGUCGCCAACGAGAAAUUGGGGUCGGCCCGAAAGCUCUAGAAUGCACCCCCCUUCUUCCCCGGGGCCUUCCACCUCCGCGAGUUUUAUGACUUAAAAAACCCCACAGGCUGGUCUGAAGAGGAAGACAAACAUAAAGAUGAAGUGCUUAAUUCAAGGUCACACAAUGUCGGGGAUGGACCUCCAGAUUUCCUUACUGACCUGCAUUAUCUUGUGGAUACCUGAGUGAAUUCCACACCACCCAUUUUAUAGAUGAAACCACUGAGACAUGGAGCAACUGACUGAGUAGUCACUGCCCCACCCCUGCCUGGAGCCUCACACAUGACUCGUCUCCUCUCAGUGACCACAGGUGAGACGUGGUCUUGUAACACAGUGGUUAAGAAUGUGACUUUGGAGCCAGCCUGCUAGGGGCUGAAUUCUGACUCAGCCAUUUACUAACUGUGUGACCUUAGGUGGAGUCUCACUCUGUAGCCCAAGCUGGAGUGGUGUGAUCUCGACUCACUGCAACCUCCGCCUC
rnacentral:antisense_RNA from 1 species